rnacentral:rRNA from 1 species
UACGUAGGUGGCAAGCGUUGUCCGGAAUUACUGGGCGUAAAGGGCGUGUAGGCGGGGCGGCAAGUCAGAUGUGAAAUCCCAUGGCUUAACUGUGGAGCUGCAUCUGAAACUGUCGUUCUUGAGUGUCGGAGAGGAAAGUGGAAUUCCCAGUGUAGCGGUGAAAUGCGUAGAGAUUGGGAGGAACACCAGUGGCGAAGGCGGCGUUCUGGACGAUAACUGACGGUGAGGUGCGAAAGCGUGGGGAGCAAACAGG